AGAGUGAACGCUGGCGGCAGGCCUAAUACAUGCAAGUCGAACGGCAGCACGGCAGAGCUUGCUCUGUGGGUGGCGAGUGGCGGACGGGUGAGGAAUACAUGGGAAUCUGCCCAGUCGUGGGGGAUAACGUAUGGAAACGUACGCUAAUACCGCAUGCGCCCUUCGGGGGAAAGCCGGGGACCUUCGGGCCUGGCGCGAUUGGAUGAGCCCAUGUCGGAUUAGCUAGUUGGCGGGUAACGCCCACAAGGCGACGAUCCGUAGCUGGUCUGAGAGGAUGAUCAGCCACACUGGAACUGAGACACGGUCCAGACCUCCGUAGGAGGCAGCAGUAGGGAAUAGUUAGGACAAGUGGGCGACGAAGCCGUGACGUACCACGACCGAUCGCCGCGU
rnacentral:rRNA from 1 species